rnacentral:lncRNA from 1 species
GGGGAGGAAUGGUGUGUACUCAAGUAACAGACCUCUGUUGACCAAACCACCAAUAACAUUUUCCCUCGGCCUCAAGAGACACUCACAAAACAAUGGCCCACAGUGCUUUUUAGGACAAGAACUGCAGUUGUGUACUGUGCGUGCAUAGUCCUACGCAGGAGGAAGGCAAUGUUUAAAGCUGCUGUCGCCUCCUGGAAAAAAAAAAAAAGAAAACUGGGACUCUGAGUCAACGUGGGUCCAAGCCUGUAGCCCCAAAUCGGAUAAUCUCUGCAGCUGAUAACAAGCAAAAGAGAAGCCAGGCAACAGCCAUAUUAAAGAAGAAAACAAUCAACUCUGAGGGGCUGACAGACUGUGGACCCAUCAACUGGCUUCCUUGCCCUCCAGCUUCCAGUAGGCUUCAGCCAAGGAGACAUGGGGAAGAAAUGAAAGGAAGAAGACUAAGAUUGGGUCUUUAUUGGAGUAUUUAUUGCCUUGAUGGAAGAUCCAGCACCUGUUGGGUGACUUUCUCAUAGAGAUCCGUGUGCCCUUCCUUUCCCGUGAUCAAAGCACUGAGCCACCUGGAGGACAAAAUGUGAGGAAUCCAAUAAUGCCUCUGAGACAACAUAUGUGGGAAUUUGGAAGAGGAAGGAUACCUUCUAUUAGCUGACGGCAGGAAGAGCUUAUCACAGACACACUGUGGUCUGGGCUGAGAAGGCAGGGUAAGACGUUAGAGGGGAAGAAGAGUGCACUUGUGUGGAGGGAGGGUGGUCUGUCUGUGAGCGUGGGGUGUGGGCUAGUGCAGACUCUUGUCAUCAGCCUCAGCCUGUCCAGCACUGGCUUGAUUUGGGAGUCACUGAAUUAUGCCUGUUGAUUCGCUCAUCACUGUGCGGACAAAUGGCCUUUGCCGGCAGCUUCUCCUGCCGUUUCUUUAUCUAUAAAUAAAUUAUGCUUUUGUUCCCCUAUGUAUGCA